GGAACAACAUGGCGACGGCGAGGUUACCAAAAAGUGGUUUCAACUACGUCGCAGCAUGCCGUCUCUUGAGAACUCCCGACUCUGUGGUAACAAGGCUGAAGGCGUGUGUUGACGUUCUCCGACGUGUUUACCGGCCGUGGCCGGAAGGGAAUCAAGCGAGCGGCCUCCAUCAGCCGUCCACGCUCGCAAUAAUGGACCGUCCACAGCAGUCUGGGAAUGUUUCCCGUGGGGCAUCGCGAGUCCGCAGUGCGUCCUCACCAGCUCCUGGGGCCAAGCGAGUGACCUUGUGAGCCUGAGGUCCAAGUAGCGUCCCUGCGCGAAGCUAAGUUGAAGCGACGGGACUACUCGCCUUAGAAAGUAUGGAUUUAGCUGUCCAGUCCUGUGACACUUCCUUGGACGGUCAUCCAGUCAUUGUCAUUUUCUGUACAAAAUCGCGUUUUUUUUAUGAAACACAGGCUUUUCACGUGCCAACAUAACCAAGUUCAGAAGAUGUGGUAUGUGCAUGCCUGCAAAUUACGUUGGGGUUAUGGCCAGAGCUCUGCCUGUUGUAGAGAACAAUUUAACUCAUUAUAACUAAUAUGGCCGACCACCGCUCACACUUUUAGACUUUAGGCUCCACACAAUGGGGCAAGUUUCGUAAUUUUUGUGAGGUCACUUCUUAAGGGCUUCAUGAUAAAAUCACAGAGGAAAAUUUUUUUUCUAGGCGUUAUUUGCUUAACAUGUCAGGGGCUAUAAAUUGAGAAAAAUUAAGAUAUAACAAUUAAUAUUUACGUUUAAUAAAUUGUGGCAAACGAAGUUUUUGCACUUUGUUCACGAUACCGUCCCAAAGUUUCUGCUUAUCGAGUACCUGAAUUUUCCUUAUGGUAUGAUUACAAACCCAGAGUGUUAUUGUGCUUUAAUCUGGUUACAGAUGUUUUUUGUACUUUAAAAAAAAUCAUUAUGUCGACAUAAAGCUGAUACGAACAUUUGAA